rnacentral:rRNA from 1 species
AUUGAACGCUGGCGGCAGGCCUAACACAUGCAAGUCGAACGAGUGGCGGACGGGUGAGUAAUGUCUGGGAAACUGCCCGAUGGAGGGGGAAAACUACGGGAAACGGUAGCUAAAACCGCAUAACAUAGGAUGUGCACAGAUGGGAUUAGCUAGUAGGUGGGGUAACGGCUCACCUAGGCGACGAUCCCUAGACGGUCUGAGAGUAUGACCAGCCACACUGGAACUGGGACACGGUCCAGACUCCUACGUGAGGCAGCAGUGGGGAAUAUUGCACAAUGGGCGCAAGCCUGAUGCAGCCAUGCCGCGUGUAUGAAGAAGGCCUUCGGGUUGUAAAGUACUUUCAGCAGGGAGGCGGUACCCGCAGAAGAAGCACCGGCUAACUCCGUGCCAGCAGCCGCGGUAAUAC